GGAAAAUUUAAAACAAAGCUCGACAUUCUGUCGCCCAACAAAAAACAGAAGCGGCGUUAGCGAAAUACUUACAUAGGCAACGAAAAUUUUAGGGAUCUUUACAAAUCACUAAUUCUUAAACUCAGAAUCAAUUGUUUGGGCGGUAUAAAUUGUACUGGGGUCUACGUAUUGGCUCAAGGAUUAUUGAGGAACCGAUUUUGCAGGCGAGCAGGC